rnacentral:tRNA from 1 species
AGUGGUGUGGCUCAGUGGCAGAGCAUAUUCUCAGUAUGUAUGAAUCCCUGGGUUUAAUCCCCAGUAUCAUAA